CUGGCUUUCAGAAUCUCUUUAUUACAGAGAGGAAAUCUUUGAACCUAGCAAUGGAAAGAGCAAGAAAAGUAAUAGAAAAUCCAUGGGAGAGUGUUGUUUCCAUCACAGUAGUUUGUGAGGAGGAGGAGGAGGAGGAAUUUCGUUCUGAUCCAUCUUAAGUGAAUAGAUCAAAUCCACAGAUCUGCGAUACCAAAUCUGCCCAUGAAUGAAAUCUGUAAGAGGAUGAGGUGUACUAGUUGUACAGUCUUGAAGGUCGUGCUAACCAGAAACAAUCAAGUUCACCAACUAGCACUGUUUCAUCCUUGUUGAAUGAAUCAGUUUUCAAUAUGGUUUCGGCAUUACGGCUGUUGGACACAUUAAAGAGCAAUCCACACUCACAGUUCAGUAUUUAAGGCAUAUGAAGAAGUUCAGCAUUAAUUACAUUUUUAUACUUGGUAAGAAGAAGUUAAUUUUUUUGGUCUGUGCUGUAGCAGAACUUCCUUUUGAACUACUGUCUACAGUUACUGUUUCCUCCCCUUUCAGCAGAAGUUUUACUGGUAAUAUAAACGUGAGCCUCUUCCAAUUGAAAACAACCCUAUUUUAUUUGAAGGACAGUAUUCCUUUUUCUGAAAACUUGUUGAAUCUCUUCCUCAUGAAAUAAUCUUUUUAUGUUUUUCCUGAUUCCUUAACGUGUCUGCUUAAGUACUGAGAAACUUCUCAGUACAAAAAAGGUUGUAGAGAAACACGAGAUUAUGGGAAAUUUUAGUGGGGUAUAGAUUGUUAAAAUAAAAUAAAGGAAAGAUAGGAAGUAUGUAAUGUAUAGCGCCCAUAGGGGCUCAAGUGGUUAGGGAGGUGUAUUAAAGGAAAGGCAGCAGGAGUCUGUCAGGGGUCAGUACAUGGUCACUCAUGACCUCAGGGGCAUAGAGACGUAGAAUCCUUGUGACAUGAUUUGCAAGAGAAUGUGUGGGCUUUGAUUCAUUCAUUUACACAACAUCAGAAAGUAAAUAAGAGACUGCUUUCUUAUUUGAGGAAGACUUCAGUCAUCCAGAUCAGCAUCUUCCAUUAAACUUCUUAUCUUUCCUUCCAUUUUCAUAUGCCUCUUGCAUAUUUCCAGCAGGCUCUCCCUCUAGAAUGAUGACUAACACAUAAGAAAAGGACAGUUUUGCUAUUACUUGUAGAUUUGUUGUUAUAUGACACAAUCUGUCAUUAUUUUCAUUCUUGCUUUCAAAUUAAAUAUCUCCCAGUCUGUAUGUUGAAAUCGUGUAUUAUUAACAACUACAUUUGUAGCACCUAGAUGUAGUAUACAUCUUUUUUUCUAUAGACCUCAAACUUCUUUUAAGCCUUGAAUGAGAUUUUGUUCCUUUAAAACUCUCAGAGCUCAGGUAAUAGUGGCUGAGGCAAGACUAAACAGGAUUUAUUCCUUCUCACUGUUAGGCCACUUGACAGAUUGAUACAGCUCUUCUAGCCUCUGAGUGCCACUAGCUCAGCCCAGCAUUUAUGCAGUCCUUUGUGCAGACUCUUUCUCCCAGUGUGAAACUUGCCCUAUUCCAACAGGAGGUAGCUUAUGGCUUCCUUCCACAGUUCCUGCAGGAGGAUCCCUGGGUGAGAUACGAGGUUUUCAGUGUCCUUUCCCAGUCAGGUCUUUAUAUCUAAUGUAAAGAUAGUGUAAGUCUGGUGAGAAUUUCAAUUACUGUAAUUUUGGGUUUCUUUUUUUAUGUGGACGUAUGAUAUGGCAUAGGAACUCCUCUUAAGAGAGACCUUCAUAGUUGGAUUAGCCUCUUGACAUGUGUUAGGCAUUGCUAACUAGGCACCUUACCUUGGGAACUGUGAGUUUUGUAUUUUGAAAAAGACAAAUCUAGAGGUGAACAAAAUGUUGCUGAACACUUAUUUCAAAUCUUAGAUUAUUUUAGGCUUUUAUAACCCUGGUAUGUGCAGCAUUAGCACAUCCUGUAAGCAUUAAUUUAUCUCUUAGAUUCAGUGAGAUGUAUGACA